AGUAAGGUAAGCUAAUUAAGCU
rnacentral:tRNA from 2 species